rnacentral:tRNA from 1 species
GGGCGUGUAGCUCAGUGGACUAGAGCACGUGGCUACGAACUACGGAGUCAGGGGUUCAAAUCCCUUCAUGCCCA